rfam:Nicotiana attenuata strain TT chromosome 10, whole genome shotgun sequence.
CUUAGAAACAUCAUUGAGUGCAGCGUUGAUGACAAUAUCUGUGAAGUCUUUAAUUUGGCAUUUGGACUUUGCCACUUUUUCCAAUUCGUUUUCAUCUGCGCUGCACUCAAUCAUGUUUUUA